UGGUUCUGGCAUCGAUGAAGAACGCAGCGAAAUGCGAUAAGUAGUGUGAAUUGCAGAAUUUCAGUGAAUCAUCGAAUCUUUGAACGCACAUUGCGCCCCUUGGUAUUCCAUGGGGCAUGCCUGUUCGAGCGUCAUUCAAACCCUCAAGCACUGCUUGGUGUUGGGCACCUGUCGCGCACUCACGCGCCGACUUGCCCCAAAUGUAUUGGCAGCCCUACUUGCCGGCCCCAGCGCAGCAGUUUGCGCCCUGAGGCCAGCAUGCGGCAGCCACAACCCCUCUUUCUUGAAAGGACCUCGGAUCAGGUAGGGAUACCCGCUGA
rnacentral:misc_RNA from 1 species